GAUGAAGAACGUAGCGAAAUGCGAUAAGUAAUGUGAAUUGCAGAAUUCAGUGAAUCAUCGAAUCUUUGAACGCACAUUGCGCCCGCCAGUAUUCUGGCGGGCAUGCCUGUCUGAGCGUCAUUUCAACCCUCAGCCCCCGCUCGCGGGGCGCUGGCGUUGGGGAUCGGCCGUCCUCGCGGCGGCCGGCCCCGAAACACAGUUGCGGUCUCUCGCGGACUCCCCUGCGUAGUAGCACUACCUCGCAGAAGGGACGAGCGGGCUGACCACGCCGUAAAACCCCCCACUUCUCCAGGUUGACCUCAGAUCAGGUAGGAAUACCCGCUGAACUUAAGCAUAUCAAUAAGCGGAGGA
rnacentral:misc_RNA from 1 species